rnacentral:rRNA from 1 species
UUGCUCCCCGCUGACGAGCGGCGGACGGGUGAGUAAUGCAUAGGAAACUGCCCAGUAGUGGGGGAUAGCCCGGGGAAACCCGGAUUAAUACCGCAUACGCCCUUUGGGGGAAAGCAGGGGAUCUUCGGACCUUGCGCUAUUGGAUGUGCCUAUGUCGGAUUAGCUAGUUGGUGGGGUAAGAGCCUACCAAGGCGACGAUCCGUAGCUGGUCUGAGAGGAUGAUCAGCCACAUCGGGACUGAGACACGGCCCGAACUCCUACGGGAGGCAGCAGUGGGGAAUAUUGGACAAUGGGGGCAACCCUGAUCCAGCCAUGCCGCGUGUGUGAAGAAGGCUUUCGGGUUGUAAAGCACUUUCAGUGAGGAGGAAAACCUUACGACUAAUACUCGUGAGGCUUGACGUUACUCACAGAAGAAGCACCGGCUAACUCCGUGCCAGCAGCCGCGGUAAUACGGAGGGUGCAAGCGUUAAUCGGAAUUACUGGGCGUAAAGCGCGCGUAGGUGGUUUGAUAAGCGAGAUGUGAAAGCCCCGGGCUCAACCUGGGAACGGCAUUUCGAACUGUCAGGCUAGAGUAUGGUAGAGGAGUGUGGAAUUUCCUGU